UAUAAGCCAUUUUCUUCUUUGCCUAGAAGCCGUUUUCUUCUCUGCCUAGAAGUCGUUUUCUUCUCUGCCUAGAAGCCGUUUUUUCUGUUCGUCCCGAGUUUCUCCAUCGCUUGCAUCUCAAUCUCUGCUGCUUUUUGGAAUUUUGCCCUAAUUUUGGUCUCUCUUCAGCAUUUCAAGCCUAGAAGCCGUUUUCUUCUCUUCCUCCCGAGCACCUCCAUCGGUUGCAUCUCAAUCUCUGCGGCUCUUUCAUUUUUUCUCGCAUUCGUCUCUCUCGAAAAUUUGAAUAAGACCAUUGAGAUUCUUUUAAGCAAAAAGAUAUUAUUGAACAUGGAGGUGGCAAUUUUGGAUGGCAUUACCAUGGGCAGCAUAGCAGGGGUUUCCAUUUUUGGAUUUAGUACAGCUUGUGAUCAUGUCUGAAAAUCACAAAAUUUGUCAGGAAAGUGAGACUGCAAGAACUCAAGACCCUUGGUGAUAUUCAACUUUAAAGAGGCUUAAAGAAGCUUCACCAUUGAGCUUGAAGGUUUGCCUGAGAUCAAUACGAGAAGGCAGAUUUCAAACUCAUGAUCAAUGCCUUGUCUGUGAGUAUAGAAGGUCUGUUCAAGGAUUUUCUGGACAGAUUUCCAAUUACUUUCGUGAGUAGGGGGUCCGAGCAUGAAUGGUGGAAAAGGACUAUGCAGCUAAAUUGGAUCCCCCUAGCUUGGAACAAGUAUCCAAUGACAUGGUGGAAGCUGGAGCCAGAACUAGAGAUGCCAACAAGAAAGGAAGAAGCAUUUACCCAGAUGGCCAAAAAGAAAAAUUUUGUUAUCUGAUUUGAGUGACUUGAGAAGUAGGGAAAUGUGGAUGCAAUAUGACAUGAUAGCCUGCCCUUUGGGAAAAUUGGUUAUGGUUGCAUUACACAGGUUUACUUUGUUUAUGCAAUGGUAAGCUAGACAUUCCUAAAACCAAUGUUUUUUGUCUCCUGGAAACUCUUCCUAUGAGAAACAACAGAAAUUGUCUCUGGAGAAAAACCAAGCAAACACAAGCGUCAAUAAGCUUCUAUGAAGUGCAGUCUUUCAAGUUUUGGGUUCUCUGCUUUGGAAUUUUCUGGGUUAAUGUAAUGGAUCCCUUGUAAUAAAACAUCUUAAUAGAACACGAUUUCAUUUUAAUGGGUCAUU